AUGAAAGGAAAGAUUGUUGAAGCAGGGCCAUCCAUCCGCCAGCAGUCCAAGGACAAGGGAAAGAAAGUGGUGUUUGAGAAAUCCGAGUUUCCGCCACUUAUUUACAAGGGAAAAGAUAAGAUGGUGGAGACACCCAACUCCAAACUACCUGGGAAAAGAGGCGGCAUUGCGGUCAUAUUGCCGUCAGCGUCGUCUUCAACAGGAAGGCCCACCAACGCUCGGAAUAUACUUCGAGCCGAUGCUCCUGAGUUUGUCCCCUCACUGGCCCAUAAACCUAGUGACGAACGCUUGGGAAUUAUGCAAAAACGUUCCCUGGAAUGGAAGGGAGUGUGCCUUACAUCUAGUGACCUCAAAACAGGCCACGUAGAUCCAACAUCUGCACCGUCAGUUCCUCUGUGUGAAAAAGCACCCAUCUUACGAGAGUCCUUUGAAGGUUCAUUUGAUCCAGUGCGGUAUCAACUGCGACAGAGAAAUGUCCGUCGAUCUUGGAUUGAUCUUCCAGCUGCCGUAGGUCAAGAUGCGGCGAGCCGACACCGUUCUCAUGUGAGCAAGUCUGUCAAGGGGAGAUGGAAAAACACUCGUCCAAAGAUCCAAGUUCAGAAUCCAGAUGACUCAUAUGUUGUUCUCCCUGGUGCAUCCACAUCACAAAACGAUGAGGGUGGCGCCAUCAUGCGACUGGCGGAGGCCCUGGCCCAACGACCCGAGUACCAAGAAUUCAUUCAGCAACAUCCUGAACAUCAAGAAUAUGUGAACCAAGCUGCUCGUGUCCGUUCAAGAAGGGCGGCGUACAAAGAAAGAGAAAGGGAAGUACGGGCCAGGUCUGGGUCAAGCAGAGUCCAAGGGGCAGAACACGCUCCAUCAGAUGAGGACAGUCGGGCUAAAACCAAGAAUAAAUCAUUCGAAGUGUUCCAAGCAAUGCCAAUUGGUGUCAGGGCGGCGUCGGACAAGACCAGCGAAACAUCCUCCACAUCAACACAUUUCAAGAGGAAGAAGGCACGCAAAACUGUCGUAGAAGGUCCUCGUCGUAAGACACGAAGACAAAAAGGUUCAGAUCAUGAAGAGCUUGGGUCUAGCUGUGGUUGGUCUUAUAAUCCCCUAUCGGACAGUACCCCUUGUCCUCUUGAAAAUGAGAUAGAACUCCACCAUGGUGCAGAGCAU
rnacentral:rRNA from 1 species